rnacentral:lncRNA from 1 species
CUGAAAAGAAAAGAAAACGAAGAAAUACUUCUGGAUCCAAAGGUUCGUUCACUGGAUCAGCCUUAAGAAAGUCUCUAUGUGUGCUAAUAGACCAGUAUCUCCCUUGUUGAUUCCCACGCCAGAUGCUGUCUUUUCAUACAGAGAUUAACUAGGGUCUGUACAGAAAAUGGUCUUUCCAGACCCAUUCUUUUGGGCAGGAAUGUAAAUGCAGAUUGAUAAUGGAGUUAUUUCUGCAUUUUAAAAAGGGGAUUUUUUUUUUUUACAUUGUUUUUUUUCUAUCCAAAGACACUUUUUCCUUAAAAAAAAAUUAUAAUACAGCCAUGCUCCUUGUAAAUUACUUCUCAAAAGCAUCCUCUCUGAGGACAAAUGUACUUUUUCAAUAAUGUUAUGACUCUUACGAUUGGCAGGACCAUCCUUGAAGCAUUUGUUUCGUAGUCCACUUCUCACUGUUUAAUUACAGAGGAACUUUGAGUCAUUUUGAACAUCAGGUGACUGAUGAAUUGCAUGGUUUUAGUUGUGUGUUUUUUGUUUUUUUUUUUAACUUUACAGGUGAAAGGGGCGGACAAUGCUUAUAUGGAAUUGUUUGCGACAUUUAAAACUCUUGAAAUUUUUCUAAAUGUUAAUUCACACACUCUAAUUAAGCCAGAAAUGUAUGUACCUUAACUAAAAUAUCUGUGCAGUUUAACUAGAAAUGUAUAUAUGUAGUAUGGGCCAUUUUUAUUUUUGUGUUUAAAUUGUGUGACCAAAACUGUGAUUUGGCAAUGUAAAGAUGUUUUUGUUCCCUAGGUUACUGACCAAGAAACUGGUUAAUGUAAGAAGUAAGCAGACAAAAAGGAUAGUAAGAAGGGAAGCUAUUACAGUGAUAAACUUUAGGCCUAAAAUUUAGGUAAUAAAGCAAAUGUCUUAGAAUAUUGUCUGGAAUGGAUAAAAUUCAGGAAAAUUUAACCCUUUACUGAGACAGAAAAAUGAGUUUUCCA